AGACAAACAGACUUAAGAGACUUGCCCAAGGUCACAGCUAGUUAGUGUCUGAGGCUGGAUUUGAACUCAGGAAGAUGAGUCUUCCCGAUUCUAAUUCCAGUGCUCUAUGCACUAUGGCACCACCUAGCUGCCCUCUGUAGUCAAGUUACUUAAUCUCAGGCAAUUUUUUAAAGACUAAAUUAGGAAGCACAAGCAGAUCUCUGGCGGCAGCGGGAAGCUGUCACAUAAAAGGCAGCUAAGUGAAGCAGCAGAUAGAGCAUGAUUCCCGUCUGCACACAGACCCUGGGUAAGUCACUGAGAUCUUUCUCAGCUUCACUUUCCUCAUUUGUCAAAUGGGGGAGGGGGUAGGGCUUGCUGACCUCUCACAUGUCUUCCAGCCCUAAAGCUGUCAUCUUAUACAUUACAGGUUUGGCCCCAAAACAAAACCCAAGGCUGGAUAUCACCCACUGACUGCAUGCGCUGUGCAGCCAUCUUUUGCUAUGAAAUUUAGAGAGGGAAGAGAGCAAUGAGUCUAGUAUGAUGGAAAGAUGUCUGCCUAUGAGGCAUCCCGGUGUGAAGAGGAAGACUCCAUGGGACAAGACAAAGAAGUUCUCAUAAGCAGGAAAUGUUUGAUUCCCGGAGUCAUUAGCAGAACUCUGGUCAGAGGCAUCAGCAUCUUUAAGCAGAACUGA
rnacentral:lncRNA from 1 species